AUAGUUUGUGAAAAAAAAACUGGCAUGGUGUAGAAGACUUCAAAAAGCAGUCUAGAAGUGUCCUUUUUAUUGGUGGUAGGCAAGAGGCGGAUCAUUGGCAGCUUUACAGUGUAAUAAUGAUCUUUGAAGCUAAUGGUUUGACACUGAUGGUUACCGCCUUCACCUAAUCAAUGCAGUUAGGCGGGUAUCAUUGUUCUAUCUCACCAACGGGAUACCAUAAAAGCUAAAACAGAUUCAACAGUGAAGCUUCGAGUAAAGCUAACUUCGAUCCACCCAAGGGAAAACAAAUUCUAAGACAAUUCAAAUUCCC